rnacentral:rRNA from 1 species
UUAAGCGACUAAGCGUACACGGUGGAUGCCCUGGCAGUCAGAGGCGAUGAAGGACGUGCUAAUCUGCGAUAAGCGUCGGUAAGGUGAUAUGAACCGUUAUAACCGGCGAUUUCCGAAUGGGGAAACCCAGUGUGAUUCGUCACACUAUCAUUAACUGAAUCCAUAGGUUAAUGAGGCGAACCGGGGGAACUGAAACAUCUAAGUACCCCGAGGAAAAGAAAUCAACCGAGAUUCCCCCAGUAGCGGCGAGCGAACGGGGAGCAGCCCAGAGCCUGAAUCAGUGUGUGUGUUAGUGGAAGCGUCUGGAAAGGCGCGCGAUACAGGGUGACAGCCCCGUACACAAAAAUGCACAUACUGUGAGCUCGAUGAGUAGGGCGGGACACGUGGUAUCCUGUCUGAAUAUGGGGGGACCAUCCUCCAAGGCUAAAUACUCCUGACUGACCGAUAGUGAACCAGUACCGUGAGGGAAAGGCGAAAAGAACCCCGGCGAGGGGAGUGAAAAAGAACCUGAAACCGUGUACGUACAAGCAGUGGGAGCACGCUUAGGCGUGUGACUGCGUACCUUUUGUAUAAUGGGUCAGCGACUUAUAUUCUGUAGCAAGGUUAACCGAAUAGGGGAGCCGAAGGGAAACCGAGUCUUAACUGGGCGUUAAGUUGCAGGGUAUAGACCCGAAACCCGGUGAUCUAGCCAUGGGCAGGUUGAAGGUUGGGUAACACUAACUGGAGGACCGAACCGACUAAUGUUGAAAAAUUAGCGGAUGACUUGUGGCUGGGGGUGAAAGGCCAAUCAAACCGGGAGAUAGCUGGUUCUCCCCGAAAGCUAUUUAGGUAGCGCCUCGUGAAUUCAUCUCCGGGGGUAGAGCACUGUUUCGGCAAGGGGGUCAUCCCGACUUACCAACCCGAUGCAAACUGCGAAUACCGGAGAAUGUUAUCACGGGAGACACACGGCGGGUGCUAACGUCCGUCGUGAAGAGGGAAACAACCCAGACCGCCAGCUAAGGUCCCAAAGUCAUGGUUAAGUGGGAAACGAUGUGGGAAGGCCCAGACAGCCAGGAUGUUGGCUUAGAAGCAGCCAUCAUUUAAAGAAAGCGUAAUAGCUCACUGGUCGAGUCGGCCUGCGCGGAAGAUGUAACGGGGCUAAACCAUGCACCGAAGCUGCGGCAGCGACGCUUAUGCGUUGUUGGGUAGGGGAGCGUUCUGUAAGCCUGCGAGGUGUGCUGUGAGGCAUGCUGGAGGUAUCAGAAGUGCGAAUGCUGACAUAAGUAACGAUAAAGCGGGUGAAAAGCCCGCUCGCCGGAAGACCAAGGGUUCCUGUCCAACGUUAAUCGGGGCAGGGUGAGUCGACCCCUAAGGCGAGGCCGAAAGGCGUAGUCGAUGGGAAACAGGUUAAUAUUCCUGUACUUGGUGUUACUGCGAAGGGGGGACGGAGAAGGCUAUGUUGGCCGGGCGACGGUUGUCCCGGUUUAAGCGUGUAGGCUGGUUUUCCAGGCAAAUCCGGAAAAUCAAGGCUGAGGCGUGAUGACGAGGCACUACGGUGCUGAAGCAACAAAUGCCCUGCUUCCAGGAAAAGCCUCUAAGCAUCAGGUAACAUCAAAUCGUACCCCAAACCGACACAGGUGGUCAGGUAGAGAAUACCAAGGCGCUUGAGAGAACUCGGGUGAAGGAACUAGGCAAAAUGGUGCCGUAACUUCGGGAGAAGGCACGCUGAUAUGUAGGUGAAGUCCCUUGCGGAUGGAGCUGAAAUCAGUCGAAGAUACCAGCUGGCUGCAACUGUUUAUUAAAAACACAGCACUGUGCAAACACGAAAGUGGACGUAUACGGUGUGACGCCUGCCCGGUGCCGGAAGGUUAAUUGAUGGGGUCAGCGCAAGCGAAGCUCUUGAUCGAAGCCCCGGUAAACGGCGGCCGUAACUAUAACGGUCCUAAGGUAGCGAAAUUCCUUGUCGGGUAAGUUCCGACCUGCACGAAUGGCGUAAUGAUGGCCAGGCUGUCUCCACCCGAGACUCAGUGAAAUUGAACUCGCUGUGAAGAUGCAGUGUACCCGCGGCAAGACGGAAAGACCCCGUGAACCUUUACUAUAGCUUGACACUGAACAUUGAGCCUUGAUGUGUAGGAUAGGUGGGAGGCUUUGAAGUGUGGACGCCAGUCUGCAUGGAGCCGACCUUGAAAUACCACCCUUUAAUGUUUGAUGUUCUAACGUUGACCCGUGAUCCGGGUUGCGGACAGUGUCUGGUGGGUAGUUUGACUGGGGCGGUCUCCUCCUAAAGAGUAACGGAGGAGCACGAAGGUUGGCUAAUCCUGGUCGGACAUCAGGAGGUUAGUGCAAUGGCAUAAGCCAGCUUGACUGCGAGCGUGACGGCGCGAGCAGGUGCGAAAGCAGGUCAUAGUGAUCCGGUGGUUCUGAAUGGAAGGGCCAUCGCUCAACGGAUAAAAGGUACUCCGGGGAUAACAGGCUGAUACCGCCCAAGAGUUCAUAUCGACGGCGGUGUUUGGCACCUCGAUGUCGGCUCAUCACAUCCUGGGGCUGAAGUAGGUCCCAAGGGUAUGGCUGUUCGCCAUUUAAAGUGGUACGCGAGCUGGGUUUAGAACGUCGUGAGACAGUUCGGUCCCUAUCUGCCGUGGGCGCUGGAGAACUGAGGGGGGCUGCUCCUAGUACGAGAGGACCGGAGUGGACGCAUCACUGGUGUUCGGGUUGUCAUGCCAAUGGCACUGCCCGGUAGCUAAAUGCGGAAGAGAUAAGUGCUGAAAGCAUCUAAGCACGAAACUUGCCCCGAGAUGAGUUCUCCCUGACUCCUUGAGAGUCCUGAAGGAACGUUGAAGACGACGACGUUGAUAGGCCGGGUGUGUAAGCGCAGCGAUGCGUUGAGCUAACCGGUACUAAUGAACCGUGAGGCUUAACCUU